rnacentral:rRNA from 1 species
UUCCGGUUGAUCCCGCCGGAGGACAUUGCUAUUGGGAUUCGAUUUAGCCAUGCUAGUCGAGCGAGUUCAGACUCGCGGCGAAUAGCUCAGUAACACGUGGCCAAGCUCCCCUUCAGUCAGCGAUACCCUCGGGAAACUGAGGUUAACAGCUGAUACAAAACGCCAGCUGGAAUGCGGCGUUUCAGAAAGACAUCGCUGAAGGAUGCGGCUGCGGCCGAUUAGGUAGACGGUGGGGUAACGGCCCACCGUGCCAGUAAUCGGUACGGGUGAUGAGAGUCAGAGCCCGGAGACGGAAUCUGAGACAAGAUUCCGGGCCCUACGGGGCGCAGCAGGCGCGAAACCUUUACACUGCACGGAAGUGCGAUAGGGGAAUCCCAAGUGCGAGGGCAUAUUAGCCCUCGCUUUUCUCGACUGUAAGGUGGUCGACGAAUAAGAGCUGGGCAAGACCGGUGCCAGCCGCCGCGGUAAUACCGGCAGCUCAAGUGAUGUCCCAUAUUAUUGGGCCUAAAGCGUCCGUAGCUGGCCGACCAAGUCUACCGGGAAAUCCACCCGCCCAACGGGUGGGCGUCCGGUAGAAACUGGCCGGCUUGGAACCGGAAGGCUCAGAGAGUACGUCCGGGGUAGGAGUGAAAUCCCGUAAUCCCGGACGGACUACCGAUGGCGAAAGCACUCUGAGAAGACGGCUUCGACAGUGAGGGACGAAAGCUCGGGUCUCAAACCGGAUUAGAUACCCCGGUAGUC